rnacentral:rRNA from 1 species
UGAAUACGAGAUGCUACGGCGUCGAAGCAGUGUAUGUCAGACUUCCAAGAAAAGCUCGCAAUGUCAUAAAUAAAGAAUGCCUGUACCAUAACCGACACAGGUGGGUAGGUAGAGUAUACUAAGGGGCGCGAGAUAACUCUCUCUAAGGAACUCGGCAAAAUAACUCCGUAACUUCGGGAGAAGGAGUGCCUUCUUUAAGAAGGUUGCAAUAACAAGAUCCAAGCAACUGUUUAUCAAAAACACAGGUCUCCGCUAAGUCGUAAGACGAUGUAUGGGGGCUGACGCCUGCCCAGUGCCAGAAGGUUAAAGAAGUUGGUUAGCUUUUGCGAAGCUGAUGACUGAAGCCCCGGUGAACGGCGGCCGUAACGAUAACGGUCCUAAGGUAGCGAAAUUCCUUGUCGGGUAAGUUCCGACCCGCACGAAAGGCGUAAUGAUUUGGAUACUGUCUCGGAGAGGGACUCGGUGAAAUAGACUUGUCUGUGAAGAUGCGGACUACCUGCACCAGGACAGAAUGACCCUAUGAAGCUUUACUGUAACUUGAAAUUGAAAUUGGACUUUAUUUGCGCAGUAUAGGUGGAAGGCGUUGAAAGUAAUCUUGCGGGAUUAGUGGAGCCAUCAGUGAGAUACCACUCCUAUAAUGUUAGAUUUCUAACUUUGGAUCAUGAUCUGGUCAAAGAACAGUUUCAGGCGGGCAGUUUGACUGGGGCGGUCGCCUCCCAAAUGGUAACGGAGGCGUACAAAGGUUUCCUCUGAACGGGUAGAAAUCGUAUCUAGAGUGUAAAGGCAUAAGGAAGCUUGACUGUGAGACCUACAAGUCGAGCAGGGACGAAAGUCGGUCUUAGUGAUCUGACGGUGCUGAGUGGAAAGGCCGUCACUCAACGGAUAAAAGUUACUCUAGGAUAACAGGCUGAUCUCCCCCAAGAGUUCACAUCGACGGGGAGGUUUGGCACCUCGAUGUCGGCUCAUCGCAUCCUGGGGCGGUAGUACGUCCCAAGGGUUGGGCUGUUCGCCCAUGAAAGCGGUACGCGAGCUGGGUUCAGAACGUCGUGAGACAGUUCGGUCCAUAUCCGGUGUAGGCGUUAGAAUAUUGAGAGGAGCCUUCUUUAGUACGAGGGGACCGAGAAGGACAUACCUCUGGUGUACCAGUUAUCGUGCCAACGGUAAACGCUGGGUAGCUAUGUAUGGAGAGGAUAACCGCUGAAAGCAUCUAAGUGGGAAGCCCACCUCAAGAUGAG